rnacentral:rRNA from 1 species
AUUGAACGCUGGCGGCAGGCUUAACACAUGCAAGUCGAGCGGGGUGAUGGUGCUUGCACUAUCACUUAGCGGCGGACGGGUGAGUAAUGCUUAGGAAUCUGCCUAUUAGUGGGGGACAACAUCUCGAAAGGGAUGCUAAUACCGCAUACGUCCUACGGGAGAAAGCAGGGGAUCACUUGUGACCUUGCGCUAAUAGAUGAGCCUAAGUCGGAUUAGCUAGUUGGUGGGUAAAGGCCUACCAAGGCGACGAUCUGUAGCGGGUCUGAGAGGAUGAUCCGCCAAACUGGGACUGAGACACGGCCCAGACUCCUACGGGAGGCAGCAGUGGGGAAUAUUGGACAAUGGGGGGAACCCUGAUCCAGCCAUGCCGCGUGUGUGAAGAAGGCCUUAUGGUUGUAAAGCACUUUAAGCGAGGAGGAGGCUCUUUUGGUUAAUACCCAAGAUGAGUGGACGUUACUCGCAGAAUAAGCACCGGCUAACUCUGUGCCAGCCGCCGCUGUAA